UCCACAAUGGACGAAAGUCUGAUGGAGCGACACAGCGUGCAGGAUGAAGGCCCUAAUGGGUUGUAAACUGCUGGUGGUAAGGGAAUAAAAAAUAGUGUAGGAAAUGCCACUAUAUUGAAUGUACCUUAUUAGAAAGCAACGGCUAACUAUGUGCCAGCAGCCGCGGUAAUACAUAGGUUGCAAGCGUUAUCCGGAAUUAUUGGGCGUAAAGCGUCUGUAGGUUGUUUGUUAAGUCUGGCGUUAAAUUUUGGGGCUCAACCCCAAACCGCGUUGGAUACUGGCAAACUAGAGUUAUGUAGAGGUUAGCGGAAUUCCUUGUGAAGCGGUGAAAUGCGUAGAUAUAAGGAAGAACACCAACAUGGCGAAGGCAGCUAACUGGACAUACACUGACACUGAGAGACGAAAGCGUGGGGAGCAAACAGGAUUAGAUACCCUGGUAGUCCACGCCCUAAACGUUGAUCAUUAGCUGAUGGGGAACUCAUCGGCGCAGCUAACGCAUUAAAUGAUCCGCCUGAGUAGUACGUUCGCAAGAAUAAAACUUAAAGGAAUUGACGGGGACCCGCACAAGCGGUGGAGCAUGUGGUUUAAUUUGAAGAUACGCGUAGAACCUUACCCACUCUUGACAUCUUCUGCAAAGCUAUAGAGAUAUAGUCGAGGUUAACAGAAUGACAGAUGGUGCAUGGUUGUCGUCAGCUCGUGUCGUGAGAUGUUCGGUUAAGUCCUGCAACGAGCGCAACCCUUAUCCUUAGUUACUAACAUUCAGUUGAGCACUCUAGGGAGACUGCCCGAGUAAUCGGGAGGAAGGUGGGGACGACGUCAAAUCAUCAUGCCUCUUACGAGUGGGGCCACACACGUGCUACAAUGGCCGGUACAAAGUGAAGCAACCUGGUGACAGUGAGCAAACCACAAAAAGCCGGUCUCAGUUCGGAUUGGAGUC
rnacentral:rRNA from 2 species